CCUACGGGAGGCAGCAGUGAGGAAUAUUGGUCAAUGGACGAGAGUCUGAACCAGCCAAGUAGCGUGAAGGAUGACUGCCCUAUGGGUUGUAAACUUCUUUUAUAAAGGAAUAAAACGAGGCACGUGUGCCUUUUUGCAUGUACUUUAUGAAUAAGGAUCGGCUAACUCCGUGCCAGCAGCCGCGGUAAUACGGAGGAUCCGAGGGUUAUCCGGAUUGAUUGGGUUUAAAGGGAGCGUAGAUGGGUUGUUAAGUCAGUUGUGAAAGUUUGCGGCUCAACCGUAAAAUUGCAAUUGAUACUGGCAGUCUUGAGUACAGUUGAGGUAGGCGGAAUUCGUGGGGUAGCGGUGAAAUGCUUAGAUAUUACGAAGAACCCAGAGUGCGAAGGCAGCUUACUAAACUGUGACUGACAUUGAUGCUCGAAAGUGUGGGUAUCAAACAGGAUUAGAUACCCCAGUAGUC
rnacentral:rRNA from 1 species